CUAAGAUUAGCUUUAUGGACCUGAGGCAGGAGAUAGAUGGGCUCCAGAGGCCUUGGCAAUGAAACCCAUCUUGACUGUGAGGUGCGUGCGCACCCAGGGGAUGGUCCAGAGGCAAAUUAGCCAUGGGGUCAAAACAAUACUAUUGGCCAAGAAGAAGAGAAAGACCCGGAAGACAGCCCCUUCAAAAGGAUUUAAACUUCCCAAAGACCAUCCCAGACACCUCCCAAUGGCCACGGAUGACACCAUCUAGAGCAGAAGAAUCUCUCAGCCAAGCUGCCUGUAUUUCUAAUCUACAAAAACCAUGGAGUAUAAUAAAAUGGUGGUUGUCUUAAGCCACUUGUUUUAGGACAAAUUUUUAAUGCAAUAAUAGAAAGUUGGAACAUACUUCAUUACCUGGAAGUGUGAUGUUAUUGUAUAAAACCUAUGACAUGGCUUUGGAAUCAGGCAGUGGACAGAAGCUGGAAGGGCUUCAAGGAGAAUGUUAGCGGAAAGAA